AUUGAACGCUGGCGGCAUGCCUUACACAUGCAAGUCGAACGGCAGCACGGGGCAACCUGGUGGCGAGUGGCGAACGGGUGAGUAAUGCAUCGGAACGUACCUUUCAGUUGGGGAUAACGUAGCGAAAGUUACGCUAAUACCGCAUAUUCCGUGAGCAGGAAAGCAGGGGAUCGCAAGACCUUGCGCUGAUUGAGCGGCCGAUGUCAGAUUAGCGAGUUGGUGAGGUAAAGGCUCACCAAGGCGACGAUCUGUAGCGGGUCUGAGAGGAUGAUCCGCCACACUGGAACUGAGACACGGUCCAGACUCCUACGGGAGGCAGCAGUGGGGAAUUUUGGACAAUGGGGGCAACCCUGAUCCAGCCAUGCCGCGUGAGUGAAGAAGGCCUUCGGGUUGUAAAGCUCUUUCGGCCGGGAAGAAAUCGCACGGGCUAAUACCCUGUGUGGAUGACGGUACCGGAAUAAGAAGCACCGGCUAACUACGUGCCAGCCGCCGCAGUAACAC
rnacentral:rRNA from 1 species